rnacentral:rRNA from 1 species
GAUGAACGCUAGCUACAGGCUUAACACAUGCAAGUCGAGGGGAAACGGCAUUUAGUGCUUGCACCGAAUGGACGUCGACCGGCGCACGGGUGAGUAACGCGUAUCCAACCUACCCAUUACUGUGGGAUAACCUGCCGAAAGGCAGACUAAUACCGCAUAGUCUUCGAUGACGGCAUCAGAUUUGAAGUAAAGAUUUAUCGGUAAUGGAUGGGGAUGCGUCUGAUUAGCUUGUUGGCGGGGUAACGGCCCACCAAGGCGACGAUCAGUAGGGGUUCUGAGAGGAAGGUUCCCCACAUUGGAACUGAGAUACGGUCCAAACUCCUACGGGAGGCAGCAGUGAGGAAUAUUGGUCAAUGGACGAGAGUCUGAACCAGCCAAGUAGCGUGCAGGAUAACGGCCCUAUGGGUUGUAAACUGCUUUUGUAUGGGGAUAAAGUCAAUCACGUGUGAUUGUUUGCAGGUACCAUAUGAAUAAGGACCGGCUAAUUCCGUGCCAGCAGCCGCGGUAAUACGGAAGGUCCGGGCGUUAUCCGGAUUUAUUGGGUUUAAAGGGAGCGUAGGCCGGAGAUUAAGUGUGUUGUGAAAUGUAGACGCUCAACGUCUGACUUGCAGCGCAUACUGGUUUCCUUGAGUACGCACAACGUUGGCGGAAUUCGUCGUGUAGCGGUGAAAUGCUUAGAUAUGACGAAGAACUCCGAUUGCGAAGGCAGCUGACGGGAGCGCAACUGACGCUUAAGCUCGAAGGUGCGGGUAUCGAACAGG